GGAAUUACUGGGCGUAAAGCGUGCGCAGGCGGUCCGCUAAGACAGAUGUGAAAUUCCCNGGGCUUAACCUGGGAACUGCAUUUGUGACUGGCGGGCUAGAGUAUGGCAGAGGGGGGUAGAAUUCCACGUGUAGCAGUGAAAUGCGUAGAGAUGUGGAGGAAUACCGAUGGCGAAGGCAGCCCCCUGGGCCAAUACUGACGCUCAUGCACGAAAGCGUGGGGAGCAAACAGGAUUAGAUACCCUGGUAGUCCACGCCCUAAACGAUGUCAANUAGUUGUCGGGUCUUCAUUGACUUGGUAACGUAGCUAACGCGUGAAGUUGACCGCCUGGGGAGUACGGUCGCAAGAUUAAAACUCAAAGGAAUUGACGGGGACCCGCACAAGCGGUGGAUGAUGUGGAUUAAUUCGAUGCAACGCGAAAAACCUUACCUACCCUUGACAUGUAUGGAAUCCUGCUGAGAGGUGGGAGUGCCCGAAAGGGAGCCAUAACACAGGUGCUGCAUGGCUGUNGUCAGCUCGUGUCGUGAGAUGUUGGGUUAAGUCCCGCAACGAGCGCAACCCUUGUCCCUAGUUGCUACGCAAGAGCACUCUAGGGAGACUGCCGGUGACAAACCGGAGGAAGGUGGGGAUGACGUCAAGUCCUCAUGGCCCUUAUGGGUAGGGCUUCACACGUCAUACAAUGGUCGGAACAGAGGGUCGCCAACCCGCGAGGGGGAGCCAAUCCCAGAAAACCGAUCGUAGUCCGGAUCGCACUCUGCAACUCGAGUGCGUGAAGCUGGAAUCGC
rnacentral:rRNA from 1 species